rnacentral:rRNA from 1 species
AGAGUUUGAUCCUGGCUCAGGACGAACGCUGGCGGCGCGCCUAACACAUGCAAGUCGAACGGAGCUGUUUUCUCUGAAGUUUUCGGAUGGAAGAGAGUUCAGCUUAGUGGCGAACGGGUGAGUAACACGUGAGCAACCUGCCUUUCAGUGGGGGACAACAUUUGGAAACGAAUGCUAAUACCGCAUAAGACCACAGUGUCGCAUGGCACAGGGGUCAAAGGAUUUAUCCGCUGAAAGAUGGGCUCGCGUCCGAUUAGCUAGAUGGUGAGGUAACGGCCCACCAUGGCGACGAUCGGUAGCCGGACUGAGAGGUUGAACGGCCACAUUGGGACUGAGACACGGCCCAGACUCCUACGGGAGGCAGCAGUGGGGAAUAUUGCACAAUGGGGGAAACCCUGAUGCAGCGACGCCGCGUGGAGGAAGAAGGUCUUCGGAUUGUAAACUCCUGUCCCAGGGGACGAUAAUGACGGUACCCUGGGAGGAAGCACCGGCUAACUACGUGCCAGCAGCCGCGGUAAAACGUAGGGUGCAAGCGUUGUCCGGAAUUACUGGGUGUAAAGGGAGCGCAGGCGGAUUGGCAAGUUGGGAGUGAAAUCUAUGGGCUCAACCCAUAAAUUGCUUUCAAAACUGUCAGUCUUGAGUGGUGUAGAGGUAGGCGGAAUUCCCGGUGUAGCGGUGGAAUGCGUAGAUAUCGGGAGGAACACCAGUGGCGAAGGCGGCCUACUGGGCACUAACUGACGCUGAGGCUCGAAAGCAUGGGUAGCAAACAGGAUUAGAUACCCUGGUAGUCCAUGCCGUAAACG